rnacentral:lncRNA from 1 species
AAAAAAAUUUAAACUUUUUCAAGAUUUGUAGUUUUGAAGCCAUGGAAGGAUAUACAUUUAGAGAAUUUGGACAAAGAUGUUGCAAGCUAGUGAAGGAGCAAAGGGCAAGAUUUUAUAUUUUCAAAAAAUGUGUUGUAAUGCUCGUCUGCUGGCGGGAAUCGACUGACACGUAGUUUUCCGAGAUCAGAUUGAUCAGAACAUUAUGAGGACUUCGGUGGACGUCUUGAAACUUAGUAACACAUCAAGACGAUGAUUCAUUGAAAUCUGAAAUAUAUAUCAACGGCAUAUAUAUAACUUCUUGGUGAUAUAUACUUUCUUUUGCUUUGUGAUUAUCUUUUUUAUAUAUAUAUAUUUUUUCCUUUUUUCCCCUUUUUUUUUUUUUUUUUUUUUAAAAAUCUAGAUCACUAAUGCAUGUCAAAGUUAGUACAUGCAGUGUACGUAGAGUAUACACAUGCAUGCAGUUCAAUUAUAGUAUAUGAUUUCAAAGUAAACAUAUUUAUGUAUUGGAUAGUAAACAUAUUUAUGUAUUGGAUUUUCAGAUAACUUUCAAGAACUAUAUAUAUACUUUUUUCAAUUAAACAUAUUGUUAAAUUACAAUAUUCAUAAUCUUUUUAAUCUUGUAGAAGCAUUUCAAAUUCGUAAAUUAGAAUUUGGAGCUUGAUCAAAUUCGGAUUCACGUCGGAAGUCCUAUAUAUGUUGAUGAUAAAAUGUUGUCUAACCAAAAGGCAACCUCAUAGACAGGGGCGGGGGCGGAUCUACAGUGUCAGGUGAUCUGCUACCGUAGAUUCCGUAAAUAUAUUAACAACCAGAAGAAGUCAGUAAAAUUUUAUAGAUGGGAACUCAUACACAAAAUGAAGGUACGUAAUUGGCUUGAUGGUAUAGAAGGGACCCUUGAAUUGCUUAUCGUUUUUCGUUAACAUGGGAUCGAUAUACUAGCUUAUUUUAUCGGGAACUCACUAGUUUAAAAUUUUAGAUCUACCUCUGUAAUAGGACUCGAUCAGACCCCAAGACAUCUGACUAACCUUGGUCAUAAAUUACUACUUCCUCCAUCCUAGUUUAUGUGGCAUACUUUUCUUUUUCGUUCAUCCCAAAAAGAAUGAUGUAUUUUCUUAUUUGACAAUUAUUUAAUGGCAUCAUCCUUAUUUUAUUCUUACUGAGUCCUACUUAAUAAGAAAAAAGACAACCAAAAAGUAAACAUAAUUAGAGCGACUUAAGAGGGACAAUUUUGUAAACUUCACAAAAUCAUCAUUUAUUUUUUAAAUUCCAUAUUCGAUCAAAAAGCAACACGUAAAAUGGUACUGAGGAAGUAUUACAUAUAGCAUGCAUUUCAUGUGUUAGCUUGUAUGCAAAUACAUAGAUGCAUGCAUGCAAUGAUGUACUAUAUUAUAGUCAAUUAUUGAUUAUAGCUAUGACCAUCCAUUAUUUAUGUAAAUUAUCCUUGUGUUUUAAAUUAUUUUUUGUUUAUUCUUAAUUUCAUGUAAUGAUGCAAAACUCUGAAAUUAAUUUCAUGAAAUUGUACUGCUAUCAUUUUUUAUUUUUUAUUGCUUUUUUGAGUCAUUUCAUUGCACAUGAAUGAUGAUAUCCAAAAAAGAUCUUUCAACAGACAUGAAUAAUUGAUAUUAGAAAAAGACAUUUAUUUAUUUAUUUAUUUAAUUAAUAUUCUUGACGUUUUGUUAAUUAGAAUUAUGUUCUCAAUGACUCAAGUAUUUUUUUCCUGUUUGAAACAUAUAAGAUGAAUACAUACUUAGUAUUUAAUCUUUAUAAAGAUAAUCCAAAAAUAUGUUAUGCAAAACCCUAAUAAUGUAGAUAUAAGUAAUGCAAGAAUUAUAAUAUAGAAAUUAAUAAUGUAGUGAUAUUUUUUUUCUUGUUGGAUAUUCUUAAGGAAAAAGAAAAAUUAAAUUUAAGGAGAGUGAGGGCAUUUUUUACUGUCAAUUUUUAUUUUAUUAUGUGUAUGACUAAUUAAUGUCCAUAUAUGUUUAUUCCACAUUCGAAUUAACCCUAAUAAAAUAAUAGAGUACAUAAAUAAAUUCUCGCAUAUCUAACGCAAGUAUUACUUCGUGCGAAAGACAAAAGGAAAAAUCAUACAAUAUAUAUAAUCGUGUUGAGUUUCAGUAUGAUGAUAAACCUUUUUUUAUACCAAUAAUUAAUCGAGCGCUUUUAACACUUAAUAUGUUCACUUUUAUUUGUUGAACAAUAAUUUUGGAAUUAGUAAACGUCUAAGAUAAUCUGAUGUCAAGAACCUGAGAGCGAUCUUUCUUAUGAUUAAUUCAUUGCUAUUAAUUAAUUAAUUAAUUAAUUAAUUAAUCCUAUCAUUUUUUUAAAAAAAUUCAUUCCAAACCAAAAAAAUGAUAGGGCCAAAGUACUUAUGAAGGGUUGUAUAUAACAAUUCUAAUUAGUGACAAUGUGAGUAGACAGCAUAAUUAAUCCAUAAUUAAGUCAAAAGUUAAUUGUCCUCUCCUCGUGCAAUUGUUUUUUUGUUUUCUCCCCAAACAACAAAAAUAAUAAAAGUUGUUCUACUUUAAUUUUGUUAAUUAGCUUUGAUGAUCCACUAAAAAAUGUUGCCAAUAUAAUAAUAGUAAUUAUUAUUAUUAUUAUUUGUCAACUCCAAAUAAGUUGAUAUCCACUAUAUUUUAUCAUCUUAUGUCAUGAAAUUGAAGACAAGUUAGGACAAUUUAAUUACAAGGUUUCAUCCUAUAAAAAUUGACAAAAUACUUUAUAAAAUUGAUACAAAAUUGACUAGGGGGUUCACCAAGCCUCUUAUAAUCACAAUCACUAUGGCAUUACAUUAGAUUGACAUUUGACUUUGAAUUAAUAAUCAAACUUUAAAUAGGAAAGCACGUUUUAGACCCGUCAAUAUGGGUCAGACCCGUUGGACCGGCCCAACUCGGCCUGUAAUUUGAUAGAGUUGAACUUCAAUUUUUGCAACCUAUUUAAGAUCAGGUUUUUUUAGUUCGGCCCGAAUAAGCCCGUGGCCACUAGGGCUUGAGUAAUAUGGGUUGGACUAGUCCGUGGGCCGGCCCGUAAGUCAAAUACAUGCAACUAUUUAGACUGAUUAUUAGUAUUUUUAUUGUAUAAAUAACAUAAAUACCAAUCUUUUAAAAGUUAUUACACUCUCUCCCACUCUUUUAAUUACUUCACUCUCUCCCCCUAUUAAUAUACAUAACAUAACCGACAUAUACAUAGCAUUCUAUGUAUAUGUGGGAUAUUUGUAAUAUGUUUAGGGAGUUGGGAUUUUUUGUAAUAUUGAAAACAUAAGUUGUGUAUUUGUGUAAUUUUUAGAUGGUUCGAAGGUUAUCAUGGUAAAAAUUAUUUAAUUAUUUCACUAUUAGGAGUAUUUUUUGAGGUGUUAGAGACUUGAUUAACAAGUAUUAACACUAUGUAAUAUUGUCUUGUAAUAUUUAUGUUUAUUAACAUUCUAAAAUUAAAUUAUAAAAUAUUAUUCUUUAAGAAGUGGGCUGGCCGUAAGACCCGUAGCCCAUAAAGUAAUGGUGUGGACUUGGUAUUUUUUGACCCAUCAUUUUGAUGAGCCAGCCCGACCUGGCCCAUGCAACUCAAAACCCGAAUGGGCUGAACUGACCCAUAUUGACAGCUCUAAGUUUACUAUUAAUUAACUUUUUAAAAACGAUACCAUGCUUCCCUUCUGUAUGUGGAACAUUUGGCUAACUAGAAAUGAUAACCUCUUCAACCACAGGGAUAAUAAUGUCAUCCCUGUGGAGAAGACUAUAGCUAGUGCCACUGAAUUUACUCUAGUUGUAGAAAGUUCUAACCACUCUGUUAAAUCUACCACCACUGCUUAUCUUAAAUGGGUUCGCCCCAAGCAAGGGUAUCAAACGGGCCGGUUUUAACCGGUCCGAACCGGCCCACUAAAAGAACCCGAACCUGUAAGCUCAAGGGCUUUAAGGGCCUGGGUCCCGGUCCGGUUGGGUUUUGAAUUUGGGCCCGAUUAACUCGGACCGGACUUAACCCGAUUAGGGUUCGCCAGUUAACCGGUCCGACCCGGUCCGGAUAAGCCCAUUUAAUUAAUUUUUUUUUUUUAAGAUUUUGGAAAAUUGGGCCAAACUAGCCGUUGACCCAACGACUAUAACGGCUAGUUUGGGCCCAAAUAUAAAAAAAAAGUUUUUUUAUUUAAAAUCAUUGUUUAAUCCCAAAAAAAUUUCUAUAAAUAUCCUUCACUUUCAAAUCAUUUUCCACACAAUUUUUCAUCCUCUCAAGUCUCAAAUCUCAUUCUCUCUCAAAUCUCAUUUCUCAAUUCUCAAAUAUUCUAUAUAUUUAAUUUCUAAAGUGCUCACUUUAAUUUUUUUAAUUUUGCGAUUGCUAAGUACGAGUGGAAGUUUCUAAAGUCGCAACCUUCGGAUACUUUCAAAAUUUGGUAUUGUCGUUUCAUCUCUUACUUUUUAUUUAUAAUUAGUGUAUUAAUUGUUUAAUAUUUAUUUUUAUUACUUUUUGUGUAUUUUGAAUAUUUUUUAGUUUGAUUUAUACUAUGGAUAAAUUAAGAAACCUCGGUAAAAGUGUCAAAAAUUUUUAUUCCGGAAGUGGUAGUGGUAGCAAAAAGCGAAUUACUAGCGGUAGAGUUACUUCAAGUACUAGAUAUACCCGUGUACCUUCGUCUCCGGUACCACUUAGUCAACCUUUUGAGGAAGAAAUAGGUGUAGGUGCUCACGCGAAAAUUACCGUAUAGAAGAAGAAAAUGAAGUAGAUGCGGUUGAUUUAGAUGAAGAUGAUGAAAAUAUUGGUGAGACACCCGAAGUAGGAAAUGCUAACGUUAGAUCUGAAUCGGUUAAUCUCCCUCCCCGUCCUCCCCGUGCCCCAAGAGCUCGUAAACAAACUAGUGUUGCAUGGAAUUUUUUCUAAACGUAUAGCAGAUACUGAGGUACAAUGCAAUAUUUGUCAAAAAAUAUAUAAGCAUAAAAGAGGAGGCAAGCAAGGGGGUACGGGUACGUUAAUGAGACAUUUAGCUGAAGACCACGAAAGAGAGUUAAAAAUUGCACAAGGUGGUGAGGUUGUUGAUGGCCCCACACAAACUAGAAUGAACCCAACAACCAGUCACGUAAUUAAGAAGUAUAAUAAAUUGAGGGGCCAGGAGGAAAUAGUAAAAAUGGUAGUUGUAGGUUGUUUGCCUUUUAGUUUUCCUUCUUCUGAUGCUUUUAUUCAUUAUAUUCAAACAAUUUAUAAUCGUAUGUUUAAUGGUAUUCCUAGAAGUACUUGUCGGUCUGAUAUUCUUAGAUUUCAUUCACAAUAUUUUUUUUAUUUAUCUACAUUGUUAAAAAAUAUUCAAUGUAGAAUAUCCCUAACUUCUGAUCUUGGUCGUGCUGUAAAUAAAAAUGAUUAUCUAACCGUUACUUGUCACUAGAUGGAUAGUAAUUUUGUGAUACAAAAACGUAUACUUGUUUUUUUAUAUGAUGAAGAUCGUAAACAUACUGGACAAUUUAUUGCUGACUCGAUACAUAAAGUUGCAGCAUUUUAUGGUAUCGAAAAUAAAAUCUUAUGUAUCCCUUUUGAUAAUGCUUCUAACAACAAGACUGCUAUAAUAAAGUUGAAAUCUAAGCUAUCACCGUCGUUACCUGAAAUUUUUCAUAUUAAGUGUGCAUGUCAUAUAUAUAAUUUAAUUGUAAAAGAUGGUCUUGAGUUUUUUGAGAUUUAUAUUGAAAAAAUCCGUCUUGCUGUAUCGUAGAUCGAGAAUUAAAGAAUUUAAAGUUAAAUGUCAAGAAAAUGGACUUGCACCGCUAUUGAUGCUUGAGGAAAUUGAUAUUAGAUGAAAUUCUACGUAUGAUUUUUUAAAAACUUAUUACAAAUAUAGAGUUCCUAUUACAUUAGCUUUUAACCAACAUUGUGGUUCAUUUGCUGAUUCUGCCGAUUGCAUGCUACUUGAUUCUGAUUGGGUUGUAAUUAAUGAUCUUGUUAAGUUUUUGAAAAAAUUUUAUGUAGCUUAUUAUCCUACUGUUUGUAAUAUUUUGGGAUAUAUAACCGAUAUUUCUGGUUUGCUCAAAGAAUAUAAAAAUAAAGAAGGUUAUGAAAAUGUUGUUGGUGCCAUGUUUACUAAAUUUAAAAAAUAUUUUUUCCCGAUUCUCCCUAUUUUCUUAGUUGGUGCUAUGCUAAAUCCGUGCACUAAAUACCAUACUAUGUGCCACUUUAGUACUCUUAUUUAUCGUAACUUAGAAAUAAAUACUAACAAUGAUUCUGAACAAGUACAACCUGAUUUGUGGACGGCUACGUCUGAUGCGAAUGCUUAUAUAGAUAAAUUAUAUAACCAUUAUGCUGAUUUAGUUGAUUUAGCUGCACCGACACAUAUCAGUCCAACUGUAGCUCCUUAUCCUUCUGAGGUGCUAUUAUUUUCUAAAAGGCCGGCACAUUGUGGUUUUCCUGAUUCCUUUUAUAAUUUACCCUGUUGGAACAGUGUUGACGAGGGAGCUUACACUUCAACUUAUCGGGAAGAGCUUAAGUAUUAUCUUUGGUCGCUACCAUAGGAUCGCAGACGACGGAUCAACACGUUGGAUUGGUGGAGGAAGAAUGAAUCACAAUAUCCUAUGCUUUCAAGAUUAGCUAGAGAUAUCUUGAACGUUCUAAUGUCAACCGUUGCAUCAGAGAGCGCUUUAGUCAGGGACGACAACAACUUGGAAACAACCGACACUCAUUGGGAAGUAAUGCAAUGAAUGUUCUAAUUUGCCUCAUAGAUUGGAUUAGAGCAGAAAGAAGAAAUCAAGGAAUGGAACCAGAGCUGAAUGACGAGCAGAAACUUGAAGAAAUUAUGACUUCGCGGGAGAACUCAGCAGAAUCAAGUCCAAUGCAUGGGUUUGCCCCCNNNNNNNNNNNNNNNNNNNNNNNNNNNNNNNNNNNNNNNNNNNNNNNNNNNNNNNNNNNNNNNNNNNNNNNNNNNNNNNNNNNNNNNNNNNNNNNNNNNNNNNNNNNNNNNNNNNNNNNNNNNNNNNNNNNNNNNNNNNNNNNNNNNNNNNNNNNNNNNNNNNNNNNNNNNNNNNNNNNNNNNNNNNNNNNNNNNNNNNNNNNNNNNNNNNNNNNNNNNNNNNNNNNNNNNNNNNNNNNNNNNNNNNNNNNNNNNNNNNNNNNNNNNNNNNNNNNNNNNNNNNNNNNNNNNNNNNNNNNNNNNNNNNNNNNNNNNNNNNNNNNNNNNNNNNNNNNNNNNNNNNNNNNNNNNNNNNNNNNNNNNNNNNNNNNNNNNNNNNNNNNNNNNNNNNNNNNNNNNNNNNNNNNNNNNNNNNNNNNNNNNNNNNNNNNNNNNNNNNNNNNNNUAUUGUAGUAUAUGUUUUAUUUAAAGUAGUACAUAUAUAUUGAAUGGUGUGUAUAUAUAUGUAUAUAUCUUCUAUAAAUGUAUAUAGUUAACGUAUAAAUGUGUAUAUGUUUUAUAAAUUAGUAUAUAACUAUGUAUAUAUAUUGUAGUGUAUAUAUAUAUACUGUACUAUUGUAGAUUUGUAGUAUAUGUUUUAUUUAAAGUAGUACGUAUUGUCAUAUAUAAUUAUAUAUUGAAUGAUACGUAUAUAUGUGUAAUUAUUUAUAUAUAUUUUAAAAAAUAUAUAUUGUAUAAUUGUAGUGUAUAUUGAAGUGUAUAUAGUGUAUAUAAUUGUAGUGUAUGUAGUGUAUAUUGGAUUUUUUAUUUUUUUUAAACGGGUUUGAUCGGUUUUUAACCGGGUUUGGUGGGUUUAACCGGGUUGGGUUAAGUGGGCCGACUCAGGGUUGUUUUCAACAUUUUUACUGUUGAACCCGGAACCGUCCCAUCCCACCUAACCCCAACCCGGACUGGAACCGGCCCACAAUUCGGUUAAAAUAAACGGGCUGAUUCCAAUUUGGCCCGGCCCGGCCCACUUGACACCUUUAGCCCCAAGCCAAGGAUCCUAUAAACUCAGCAUUGAUGCCAGCGUCAAAUCCCAACCGGGACUAGGUAGAAUAGGAGGAGUUUUUAGGGAUUACAAGGGUGAUUGGAUUCUUGGAUAUGCUAAAACAUGCCUCAUGUUAGUGCACAACAAGCCGAGCUUCUUUCCAUCCUUGAAGACCUUAGAGUAGCCUAUGAUAGACAACUGACAUCCUUUGAGCUUAACUCUGACUCAUCCACUGCCAUCAAUAUGCUAUCCUCUAACUAGGUAGUUGCUUACCUCAAAUGGGUUCGCCCCAAGCCAAGGAUCCUAUAAACUCAACACUGAUGCCAGCGUCAAAUCCCAACCUGGACUAGGUAGAAUAGGAGGAGUUUUUAGGGAUUACAAUGGUGAUUGAAUUCUUAGAUAUGUUAAAACAUGCGUCAUGUUAGUGCACAACAAGCCGAGCUUCUUUCCAUCCUUGAACUUGUCGAGAUUUUUUAUACGCCUCAUAUUUAAAACAUAUAUAUUUUUCAAGGUUACUGAGGUCACAUGACCCUCCUAUUCAAAGGGUAGGUCCGCCGACAAGAUCGCUCGGAUAAAAUAUAUUAUUCAAUUAUAUGGACAAUUUUUUGAGAAAAAUAAGCCACAAGGGCCUGGCAAGUUUAUUAAAAAAAAGGAGAUAAGUGGGUCCCACAAACUUGUCCCUAAAAAAAACUAAGUUUCUUGAACAACUACGUUAGUUGUCUGAAUAACUUCGCGCAGUUGUUGAACAACUUCUCUCAGUUGUCGAACAACUACGCCUAGUUGUUCAACAACAACUAGGUGCAGUUGUAGGACAACUGUACCUAGUUGUUGAACAAUUUGCGCAGUUGUUGAACAACUUUGGUAGUUGCUGAAUAACUUUGCAAAAUUGUCGAACAACUACCAAAGUUGUUCUACAACUGGGACAAGUUGUUCGAACGAAAAAACUUUAAAAAAAAAAAACUCAAAAAAAAAUUAUUCCUCCCACCUAAUUUUAAAAACUUGGAGGACUCCUACUUAAUUGGACAACUUAUUUAUCCUUUUUAAUCCAAAGUCCCCAAUUUUUUUGUAGAAAAAACUAAUCAUGCAUUGAUCAUUGUAUGAUAGUUGUCGAUUAAGCAGACCCAUGCUAAUAGAUGAGGUUCGGAUAUGAGAAUAAAGAAGGUAUUUCACUCUUAAAAUUAAAUAUUUUGACAUAAAUAUAAAUUAGUCGACUCCAAAGUUAAUAGUUUGUCAAAAUAAAAAUGUACGUAUCCAAAAAUUUAUAUCAGAUCAAUAAAUAUUUUAGAACUUUGAACUAAAUAAAUCAAACUUUAUAUUAAUAAAUAACAUUUUAACAACAACAUCCAAGUUAAUGCAUUGUAAGUAAAUAACUAACAUCAAGAAUUAAUAUGCAUUGCAAGCAAAUGGCUAACAUCAAGAAUUAAUUCUUACUUUUAUUAAUAAUCGUAUUAAUAUGUAAAGUUAAAGAUUAAGUGUCUUUUAAAAAUAAAAAUAUUACAUCGAAAUAAUUACUAUGCUACAAUAAAUAAGACAACUCUAAAUUAUUACUCUAUAUUUAUUUAUGUCACUAAUUUUAUUGAGAAUUUCCUAAUUUGAAACUUAAAAGGGAUUAAGCGGCCCAAACCCUUAUCAGAAUGGCAAGACCGGCCACAUCAGCGCCAGUGGGAGGCGGAGAAGCAACAACAGUGCCGGAUCAGCAACAACAGCAGCAGCGAUAGCGGGAGCCGGAUCAGCAACGACGACUGUCACACCCCUUUUUCAUACUCCAAAAGAUUAGAUUUUAAGUUUGAAAGAGUUUUAUUAUUAAGUGACAAAAAAAAUGAAAAUUUUGUUCCGAAAAGAAUUUUUACAAUUAAAUUCAGAGUCGCCACUUGGCAUAAUCCGGUGUGCCAAGUCACCUUCAAAAAAUCCUUUUCAAAACAGUUUUGACUCUAGAAACUAAUCCGCAAACAGAGAUUUCGGCUAAGGAAUUCUGUUAACCGAGGGAAAGGUGUUAGGCACCCCUCGAUCCCGUGGUUCGACCAUGGUCGCUUGGUGGAGUGAAUCGGCUAAUUUGGUACUACGAUGUUCAAACCACACAAAAACACGUAAAACAAAUAAAAAACAAACAAACAAAACAAAACGAAUCAAAAAUAUAGUGUCCAGUCCAAGUUAUACAGUCCCGAAAUAGAAAAAUGCAAAAAAUGUAAAUCAUAUUCUUAACUAAUGCUAGACUAAUCUCCAAUGCCUCACCCGAUGCCUCGGGCCUUCAUCAAGAACGUCCUCUAAGUACAAGAUACGGAUAAAUCGAUACAAAUACCUCGGGGCAUUCCCCGGUCAAAUGAUACAAGUGAUCCCAAAGCGAUAAAGCCAAAAACCAUUCAAUCACACAAUUCAAAUAUUCAAAAAUCCACAAAUUCUAAUUUUUUCCUAUCCAAGCCUACUAUUUGCCUACCCCGCUCGAUGUAUCAUGAUACUAUUGAGGAAUUGACAAUUAUACGCGAAAUAACAAUAACAAUGAAUCACAACAACUAAUUUAUUCUUCUUUUAUCAAAUUUCGAUCCCCGAAUCCAUUAACCAAAGAUCAACAUUUGCUUCGAUUAUCAAUUCAAGUUUUCCACGUUCAAAUUCAAUAUUCACCAAACAUGCCAUUACUCAAAUAGAAACAGUCGACACGAUGACAAUCAACAUGGCUCAAACAUACUCAAAACCGUAUCAAAACCACGACAAUAACCACUUUCAAAAUAAGGAAAGAGUAGAGUUAAGGAUGGACUUUCGAAAGAUCGAAUUCGUUGAUAAUAAUAAGAAGAACCCGGACUUGAAACCCCAAAUAGAAUUCCUUGACAACGACGAACCAAACUCGAUAUCGAGAAAUUUGAAACCCAAAAAUGGAAAAAAAUGAGCCGAUUGGGACAGCAACUCAGCCUAGUAUCGAAAGAACCCUAACUUCUGCGUUGAAUCGAAGCCCAAGAUAUCCACAGACUACCAAAACAGAGAUCAAACUCCGGGAAACCGAAACAGAAUCCGUGUAAUUCUGGCAUAACGCUGAUAGAAUCAGUCCAAGAACGGACGAGAAUGACGAAUUCAAAAAAAACAAACUGAGACGCUGGAGCUCCGGUGAGCUCAAAUGGAGUCCAGAAAACAAUGAACACGGGUCGGAUCUCAACGUUGAGUGAUGUCGGGUUCACUGUUCCGAGCAACUUUCAACUGAUUUCAGUCCAUUAUUUGCUUCUUUUUUUCUUUGAUUGUCAAGAAUGGACAAGAUCGAGGGUUCCCCUAUUUUCGUGUCUUCUCUAGUUUUUACUGGUUUGCUUUCUUUCCAAGAAGAAGAAGAAGAACCUUUUUUCUCUCUUCGUGACCCCUUUUUCUGUUAUUGAAUUGAAAAAUAAAGGAAUAAAAAAAUGGUCCCCCUUUUGAGAAGAAGCUGUGUAUGUAUAAAAAUGGAAGAAGGGAGUCCCCUCAAUCUUCUGUGGGCCGCCUUUUUUGUGUAUAUCUAUUAUCUUUUUUGUCUUCGUGGACAAGAAAUGGAGGGAUGGUGAGGUGUUGUUUUUUAAUUGGAGGGAUAAGAGUUAGGUGUCUUCUUUUAAUUGAAAAGGAUUGAUAGGAUGUUAAAAAAAAUAAAAGUUUGUUAGAGAUUUUGUUGAGAGUUUUUUUUUAUUUUUAUCUUUUGUGGGAUGUAAUUACACGGGUGAGGGUAUACGGUAGGAUAAGGUAAAAAAAUGGGUAAAAAAUGCUAUCGGAAAGGGACAAAAUUACGUGCCUAUAACGAUCGGAGCCGGAUCUAUCGAAAUAGCAGGAGCGGCGACAUCAAGGACGGGAGGCGGAGCAGCAGCAGCAGCCUGAGCCAUAUCAGCAGCAAUGGCGUGAGCCGGAUCAGCAGCAUCAACAGUGACAGCGAGAGCCGGAUUAGCAACAACGGCUAGAAAUUUAUUAAACUAUAUAAACAUAAUAUAAAUAAUUGUAAAUUUACUCAGCUAAAAGUUAAAUCGGAAUAAUAUACCAAUCUGUUCUUCUCGAAUAACUCAUUCAAUUUGACAAUCGAGAACCAUAACGUUGGUACGUUAACUCUGACAGGAGUCAUUCUACCGUCCCUGCCAAUUCUUGCUUUGAUACCUUUCAACUUAGAAGCUAAAGCGAAUGCAUACAUGGUGGUUUGAAAGUUUUUUCAGCAACUUUGAAAAUUUAAAUUUUUGAGGGAGAUAAGUUGGUACUUUCAAAUUUUAUUUAUGUAUAAAUAACAUAAAUACCAACUAUUUUGAAAGUAAUUACACUCUCUCACACUUUUUUAAUUACUUUACUCUCUCCCUGUUAAUAUACAUAACAUAACCGACAUAUAUAUAACAUUCUAUGUAUAUGUUGGGAUUUUUUUGUAAUAUUGCAAACAUAAGUUGUGUAUUUAUGUAAUUUUUAGUUUGUUUAUUUAUUUAAUUUUUAUUAGGCUUGAAAAUAGGCUAUGGCCUAGGCCCUUAAUUUUUGGUUUAAAAAUUGAAGUUGUGUUGCAACUAAUAACAACUUUAAAAAAACUAAUUCAUGUACAAAAAGUAAUAUUUCGAUUUUAAUGGAAUUUUUUUCAUGUGGUAGAAGUGAACAAGGUUAAUUUAUUUUAUCAAAUCUUUACUUGUUACAGAAUAAAGAAGGGAAAACUUUAUAACUAACAAACUUAUGACUAUAAUUAGAACUUUUAUAGCAAUUAUUUCAUAAUUACAUAGAAUAGUAAGUUGUAUUCUGUAUUUUAGGCAAAAUUUGUUAGAUAAAUACGUAUACAAACGAAAUUACAACCCUUUAUUCUGUAUUCUGUAUUUUAGGCAAAAUUUGUUAGAUAAAUACGUAUACAAACGAAAUUACAACCUUUUAUUUAACUAGGUUCUUAGUGUUUAUACAUUUGUAUGUCAAGUUACCUAUUUAUCUAUACAUAUUAUUGUUGUCGACAUCUUGUUCUCGGGUUUGUGUGGAAACCGUGAGUUAUUGUUGUUAAUCUUGUUAACUAUUUGUUAGUUUUUUGGCUCGCUGAAAUAGGUGUCAAUACACCGAGAUAUCUUGUUGUUCUUGUCUUGUAAUCUUGAAUCCGAGAGUGGUCACCAAGAGGGUCCUCGGUUCCCUUGAACUAGUGGACUGUUUUGGUGUUUGUUUUGUGUCCCCCUUGUCAAUCUUGUAUCAACCUACCACCAUUGCUUACCUCAAAUGGGUUCGCCCCAAGCCAAGGAUCCUAUAAACUCAACACUGAUGCCAGUGUCAAAACCCUAUCAGGACUAGGUAGAAUAGGAGGAGUUUUUAGAGAUUACAAGGGUGAUUGGAUUCUUUGAUAUAUUAAAAUAUGCCUCAUGUUAAUGAACAACAAGCCGAGCUCCUUUCCAUCCUUGAAGGCCUUAAAGUAGCUGGCUUAUGAUAGGCAGCUGACUCCCCUUGAGAUUAACUCUAACUCAUCCACUGCCAUAAAUAUGAUAUCCUCUAACCAGGUGGUUGCUUACCUCAAAUGGGUUCGCCUCAAGCCAAGGAUCCUAUAAACUCAACACUAAAGCCAGUGUCAAAUCACAACCGGGACCAGGUAGAAUAUGAGUUUUUAGGGACUACAAGGGUGAUUGGAUUCUUGNNNNNNNNNNNNNNNNNNNNNNNNNNNNNNNNNNNNNNNNNNNNNNNNNNNNNNNNNNNNNNNNNNNNNNNNNNNNNNNNNNNNNNNNNNNNNNNNNNNNNNNNNNNNNNNNNNNNNNNNNNNNNNNNNNNNNNNNNNNNNNNNNNNNNNNNNNNNNNNNNNNNNNNNNNNNNNNNNNNNNNNNNNNNNNNNNNNNNNNNNNNNNNNNNNNNNNNNNNNNNNNNNNNNNNNNNNNNNNNNNNNNNNNNNNNNNNNNNNNNNNNNNNNNNNNNNNNNNNNNNNNNNNNNNNNNNNNNNNNNNNNCCAUCAAUAUGAUAUCCUCUAACCAGGUGGUUGCUUACCUCAAAUGGGUUCGCCUCAAGCCAAGGAUCCUAUAAACUCAACACUAAAGCCAGUGUCAAAUCCCAACCGGGACCAGGUAGAAUAUGAGUUUUUAGGGACUACAAGGGUGAUUGGAUUCUUGGAUAUGUUAAAAACAUGCCUCAUGUUAAUGCACAACAAGCCGAGCUCCUUUCUAUCCUUGAAGGCCUUAAAGUAGCCGGCUUAUGAUAGGCAGCUGACUCCCCUUAAGAUUAACUCUGACUCAUCCACUGCCAUCAAUAUGAUAUCCUCUAACCAGGUGGUUGCUUACCUCAAAUGGAUUCGCCCCAAGCUAAGGAUCCUAUAAACUCAACACUGAUGCUAGCGUCAAAUCCCAAUUGGGACCAGGUAGAAUAGGAGUUUUUAGGGACUACAAGGGUGAUUGGAUUCUUGAAUAUGUUAAAAACAUGCCUCAUGUUAAUGCACAACAAGCCGAGCUCCUUUCCAUCCUUGAAGGCCUUAAAGUAGCCGGCUUAUGAUAGGCAGCUGACUCCCCUUGAGAUUAACUCUAACUCAUCCACUUCCAUCAAUAUGAUAUCCUCUAACCAGGUGGUUGCUUACCUCAAAUGGGUUCGCCCCAAGCCAAGGAUCCUAUAAACUCAACACUAAAGCCAGUGUCAAAUCCCAACCGGGACCAGGUAGAAUAUGAGUUUUUAGGGACUACAAGGGUGAUUGGAUUCUUGGAUAUGUUAAAAACAUGCCUCAUGUUAAUGCACAACAAGCAGAGCUCCUUUCCAUCCUUGAAGGCCUUAAAGUAGCCGGCCUAUGAUAGGCAACUGACUCCCCUUGAGAUUAACUCUGACUCAUCCACUGCCAUCAAUAUGAUAUCUUCUAACCAUCUUGGCAAUUAUUGUAACAUCAUUUUGGAGUGUAGGUAUUACUUAAUCCAGAGACUGGGAACCCUAAUCUUGAAGCAGACAUGCAGAGAGCACACAGAAUAGGAUUGCAGAUGCACUAGCUAGAUUGGGGACUGAUGAUACUUCUUUUGACCUGUUGCAAGUUUUGACACUUUCUCCUUUGUGUGCAACAGAAGCCUUAGCAACAGAAAAAUUAGGAAUUGCUUUCCCUAAGAAAGUUGCAACUAAAAAUGUAAUUAACUCCUGAAUGUCAUGCUUCUUCAACCAAAAAAAAAAAAUAAAAAAAAUUAAAAACAAACUAUAUAUAUAUAUAUAUAUAGGGAGGCCCCUUCAUAGAGAUAAUGAAGAGAAAUUAAAAUAUAAACUGUUUAAUUAAUUGAUUACUCAACUAGAACAUAAUUAAGCUAGUAACUCAAAAAGAGGUACAAUAUACUAUUUAAAUUUUUUUUUUAAAGAAAAUGAAAUAAAUAAAAAAUCUUAACAUUAUGAAGAUUAGUUUGAUCAUUUUACACUUCAAUCAAUGUGUUAUCAAUAUCCAUAUUAUUGUUUUACUUCUAUUUUGUAUAAAAUAUUACAUCAAUCCUUAAAUAAGAUAUACAUAUAUUGUUUAUACCAACAAGAAAAAGAACUUCCAAAUUUGGAAUUAAGUGAUUAUAUUCUUCAUAAAUGUUUUCUUUUCAAUUGAUCAAAUUAAAGGUAAUUUGUGGUGUCACUAUCCAAAGCUUUAAUAAUUAGGUUUAUGAAAAGAUGGAAAAGAUGGAAGACAAAUAUACAAUUAAUCAACAUGUGAUUUAUUAUAAGACAUAUAAUUAGAAAAAGAAGCCUAAAUUAAAUAUUGUCCAGAUUUAAAAAAAAAUCAAUGGUGUGUAAUUUAUAAAGUACUUUUAUCUCUCAAAUAAUUCAUGAGACUUUGUCUUCCUUUUUGCAUUAUGUUUAGUCUCAUCAAUUGUACUAUUGUCAUUCAUGCAUGUCUAUAUUCACCUUUUCUAUAGCUACCUAAUAUUUCCACUUUAUUUUUCACUUUAUUUUAUAUCGUCACGGAUUCAGAAUUUAAAAUAUAAAUACUGAAUUUGAGAUAACAUAUUCUUAAAUAAAAUGUGUAUACACUAGGUGUAUAUCAUUGUUAAAAGGGAGAAUUUCCAACAUAAUUGAUGGAAACUCAUCGAAAAUAUUAUCGACGAUUCAUAUUCUGAUAGAUUUUUCGCCAAAUAUUUAUAGAAAAUUCUCAUUUUUAAUGAUGAAUACUAUAUAAUCUAGAACAACUUUAAUAUAAUAUGAAAAAAAUAACAUAAUUAUAGGAGAAGAAUUAUAUUUUAAUUAAACAGUAUCAUAUUCAGUGGCAGACUCAGAAUUUAAGGAUUGUGGAUGCUUAAAAAAUUUAAAAACUGAAAAAAAUAAAAAAUUGCCUCAAUGAGGUUCAAACCUAGAGCGUCACUGAUGCACCCACCAACUUCUUAUUUCGGUGGGUGCUUUUACAUAUUUUAUACCAAUUUUUGUAUAUAUAUAUUUUUUAUAUAAUUAUACCUAUUUCGCGUCGAAUUUAAUAGAUGCCAAAGUACCCUAAAAAUUAACGUAGAUCCGCCUCUGAUCAUAUUAUCUAAUGUAGCAAAUAUAUAGGCUUUUUAUAUGUUUUGCAAUACCUCUUGUUCCAUCGUUAUAUACAUCCAAAACAUUUAUGUUAAUAUCCUUUGAUUGACAUGAUAGUAUAAUUUUUCUUUUACAUAGACGAUAUAUAUAACUUUAACUCAUCUUAACAUAAAAAUAGAGAAAGUUACUAAUUACGUAUUUACGUACAAUCGAUAAAUGUAAUAUGAUAUUAUAAUUUUUUUUACAUUACUGAUGUAUAUAAUUUAAACUUCAUUAAUAUAUAUAAAAUUUUUUGUGGGGGAUUUGGACAUAUAUAGCAUACCUAGUUGGCAUAGCUAGAAUUUAUCUUUUUGGUUUUGCCUAGAUUUUGGAAUACAAAUAGACCAGGUUCGAAUAUGAGAAUAAAGAAGGUAUUUCACUUUUAAAAUUAAAUAUUCUGACAUGAAUUUAAAUUAGUCAACUCCAAAGCAAAUAACUUGUCAAAAUAAAAAUGUAUUUAAUUCUCCAAAAAUUUUGUGCCAGAUCAAUAAAUAUAAAUUAAAAUAUCUGGUUUGCAUGCAUGUACACUUUAAUUUUUAACACUUAAGUGUAGGGGUGGUCAUAAAUACUGAAAAAUCGAAAAACCGAACCGAAAUUUAAUUUUGGUUUCAAUUUUUCGGAUUGAUUUAGGUUUUUAAUUUUUAAAUUUCAGUUAAACGAUUUGGUUUUCGAUUUUCUUAAAAAAAAAAAAAAAUCAGUUAAACCGAAAAACCGAAAACCAAAAUUCUAUAAAUAAUAUUAUAAUAUAUAUAUAUAUAUAUUAUUAAUUUAUUAUAUAUAUAAAAUAAUAUAUAUUAUCAAUAUAUUAUAUUAAUUAUAUAUACAUUUUAGUACCCCUAAUUUCGCGCCUAAAUCUCUAAACAGUAAACAUAUUACCAUUCACUAAGCAAUUUGCGAGAAAUUUAUGAGUUUUGUGUUUGUUUUGUGGACAGGACUGUUUAUGAAAAUUUAUAUAUAAUGAUCAAUGACGUUAUGUAUUAUGUUAAACUUAUGAUUAUUUUAUUUCGUUUCAUUCAUGUUGAGUUACUUAUAGUUAUUUAUAUUUGGGAAUGAAAAAUAGAUUUGAAAAAAAUCAUUUUUCUUAAAAAAAUUCUUAAUUUUAAAUGCUCAGUUAUGAAAAAGAGAGACUCUCUACUUUAAUAUUUCAAAUCGAAAUAACCGAACCGAAUUUGAAGAAACCGAACCAAACCGAUAUGGUUGUCAUUUUUGUCAAUCUGAAAACCGAUAAACUGAACCGAUAUUAAACAAUCAGACGAACC